GAGGACUCAAAUCAUAGAGGCAGUUCAGCCCAUGCCCAGAAGUACAUCGACAUCAUUGAGCGGUGGUGGAACGACCAGAUGGGUAGAAACUUGUAUCUAGAAGGUAAAAAGAACAUUGAAAAUUAGAUUGUUCCUGUACUUGUAUAAUUUUACUAAGACAAUAACGAACUCUGUGUAGCAUACUAUCUAAACCAUCAGUUCUAAUACAACACAGCUAGAAUCGAUAUGGAUGACGAACUACUGGCCGCUCUGUGUAAUAUCACAACAUAAAGCCUGAUCCAAAAGUCGUAGCUCUAUGUUUAGAAGAGGUAAGUUAACUUAAGUGACAUGUGUAAGUUAACUAGUAUCUCGAUAUCUUCUAUUAUUAACAUAGUACAACACGGUUCUUUUUGAUAAAUCUAAAUAUUUAGAAAGAACAACGAUAGAUUUAGAGUCACAACAGCUGUCGUAAGAAAAAGUAUGAAUCUAGAUAUGUUAUACACCAGGAGGACAUUACCUGGCAUUAGAAGGUUACUAAUAUGGUAGUAUGGUACUAUCUUAUAUCUUAUUUUUUUAAUAUUUUUG
rnacentral:lncRNA from 1 species